CCUACGGGUGGCAGCAGUGAGGAAUAUUGGUCAAUGGGCGUAAGCCUGAACCAGCCAAGUCGCGUGAGGGAUGAAGGUCCUAUGGAUCGUAAACCUCUUUUUUAAGGGAUUAAAGUGUGGGACGUGUCCUGUUUUUUAUGUACCUUAUGAUUAAGGAUCGGCUAACUCCGUGCCAGCAGCCGCGGUAAUACGGAGGAUCCGAGCGUUAUCCGGAUUUAUUGGGUUUAAAGGGUGCGUAGGCGGAUUUUUAAGUCAGUGGUGAAAGUCUGUGGCUCAACCUUAGAAUUGCAGUUGAAACUGGGAGGCUUGAGUAUGUUAGAGGCAGGCGGAAUGCGUGGUGUAGCGGUGAAAUGCUUAGAUAUCACGCAGAACCCCGAUUGCGAAGGCAGCCCAC
rnacentral:rRNA from 1 species